rnacentral:lncRNA from 1 species
CUCCCCUGUGUAAUCUCUAAUUGUCAAAUACCCCCCUGUCAAAAAAAAACUCACCAACGCCCCCCUGUGUAACCAAAGUCAAUGCAUCUAGACCCCUUAAGGCAAAUCGUGUCUCUCACUCGCGGGCUCUGCGAAUUUUUAUGUUAUUUCUAGGGUGAAAUGUCAUAAAUACCCCUGUAUAAAUAAAUAAAAAAUCCGAGUGGUCAAAUUAUAAAUAACUAUAAUUUAUAGGACCAAAUUGUAAAUUUUAAAAUUUCCAAAAUUGCAAUAAGGGACAAAAAUUGAAGAUUUUUUCAGAUCUUCUUCUUCGUUUCACUCCGCCGCCCACCUCCCAGCCCGGAAAAACUUCGGCAUCACCGCCG